rnacentral:rRNA from 1 species
AUUGAACGCUGGCGGCAGGCUUAACACAUGCAAGUCGAGCGAGCGGCGGACGGGUGAGUAAUGUCUGGGCAACUGCCUGAUGGAGGGGGAUGACUACUGGAAACGGUAGCUAAUACCGCAUACCAUCAGAUGUGCCCAGAUGGGAGUAGCUAGUAGGUGGGGUAAUGGCUAACCUAGGCGACGAUCCCUAGCUGGUCUGAGAGGAUGACCAGCCACACUGGAACGGAGACACGGUCCAGACUCCUACGGGAGGCAGCAGUGGGGAAUAUGGCACAAUGGGCGCAAGCCUGAUGCAGCCAUGCCGCGUGUGUGAAGAAGGCCUUCGGGUUGUAAAGCACUUUUAGCGAGGAGGCGGUACUCGCAGAAGAAGCACCGGCUAACUCCGUGCCAGCAGCCGCGGUAAUAC